rnacentral:rRNA from 1 species
UUAAGCGACUAAGCGUACACGGUGGAUGCCUAGGCAGUCAGAGGCGAUGAAGGGCGUGCUAAUCUGCGAAAAGCGUCGGUAAGCUGAUAUGAAGCGUUAUAACCGACGAUACCCGAAUGGGGAAACCCAGUGCAAUACGUUGCACUAUCGUUAGAUGAAUACAUAGUCUAACGAGGCGAACCGGGGGAACUGAAACAUCUAAGUACCCCGAGGAAAAGAAAUCAACCGAGAUUCCCCCAGUAGCGGCGAGCGAACGGGGAGGAGCCCAGAGUCUGAAUCAGUUUGUGUGUUAGUGGAAGCGUCUGGAAAGUCGCACGGUACAGGGUGAUAGUCCCGUACACCAAAAUGCACAGGCUGUGAACUCGAUGAGUAGGGCGGGACACGUGACAUCCUGUCUGAAUAUGGGGGACCAUCCUCCAAGGCUAAAUACUCCUGACUGACCGAUAGUGAACCAGUACCGUGAGGGAAAGGCGAAAAGAACCCCGGCGAGGGGAGUGAAAUAGAACCUGAAACCGUGUACGUACAAGCAGUGGGAGCACCUUCGUGGUGUGACUGCGUACCUUUUGUAUAAUGGGUCAGCGACUUAUAUUUUGUAGCAAGGUUAACCGAAUAGGGGAGCCGUAGGGAAACCGAGUCUUAACUGGGCGUCUAGUUGCAAGGUAUAGACCCGAAACCCGGUGAUCUAGCCAUGGGCAGGUUGAAGGUUGGGUAACACUAACUGGAGGACCGAACCGACUAAUGUUGAAAAAUUAGCGGAUGACUUGUGGCUGGGGGUGAAAGGCCAAUCAAACCGGGAGAUAGCUGGUUCUCCCCGAAAGCUAUUUAGGUAGCGCCUCGUGAACUCAUCUUCGGGGGUAGAGCACUGUUUCGGCUAGGGGGCCAUCCCGGCUUACCAAACCGAUGCAAACUCCGAAUACCGAAGAAUGUUAUCACGGGAGACACACGGCGGGUGCUAACGUCCGUCGUGAAGAGGGAAAAACCCAGACCGCCAGCUAAGGUCCCAAAGUCAUGGUUAAGUGGGAAACGAUGUGGGAAGGCACAGACAGCCAGGAUGUUGGCUUAGAAGCAGCCAUCAUUUAAAGAAAGCGUAAUAGCUCACUGGUCGAGUCGGCCUGCGCGGAAGAUGUAACGGGGCUAAACCAUGCACCGAAGCUGCGGCAGCGACGUUUAGGCGUUGUUGGGUAGGGGAGCGUUCUGUAAGCCGUUGAAGGUGACCUGUGAGGGUUGCUGGAGGUAUCAGAAGUGCGAAUGCUGACAUAAGUAACGAUAAUGCGGGUGAAAAACCCGCACGCCGGAAGACCAAGGGUUCCUGUCCAACGUUAAUCGGGGCAGGGUGAGUCGACCCCUAAGGCGAGGCUGAAAAGCGUAGUCGAUGGGAAACAGGUUAAUAUUCCUGUACUUGGUGUUACUGCGAAGGGGGGACGGAGAAGGCUAGGCUGGCCGGGCGACGGUUGUCCCGGUUUAAGCGUGUAGGGGGAGUGACCAGGUAAAUCCGGUUGCUUAUCAACCCUGAGGCGUGAUGACGAUGCACUACGGUGCAGAAGCAGUUGAUGCCAUGCUUCCAGGAAAAGCCUCUAAGCAUCAGGUAACAUUAAAUCGUACCCCAAACCGACACAGGUGGUCAGGUAGAGAAUACUCAGGCGCUUGAGAGAACUCGGGUGAAGGAACUAGGCAAAAUGGUGCCGUAACUUCGGGAGAAGGCACGCUGGCGUUAGGUGAAAGGACUAGCUCCUGGAGCUGAAGCCAGUCGCAGAUACCAGCUGGCUGCAACUGUUUAAUAAAAACACAGCACUGUGCAAACACGAAAGUGGACGUAUACGGUGUGACGCCUGCCCGGUGCUGGAAGGUUAAUUGAUGGGGUCAGCCGCAAGGCGAAGCUCUUGAUCGAAGCCCCAGUAAACGGCGGCCGUAACUAUAACGGUCCUAAGGUAGCGAAAUUCCUUGUCGGGUAAGUUCCGACCUGCACGAAUGGCGUAAUGAUGGCCAGGCUGUCUCCACCCGAGACUCAGUGAAAUUGAACUCGCUGUGAAGAUGCAGUGUACCCGCGGCAAGACGGAAAGACCCCGUGAACCUUUACUAUAGCUUGACACUGAACAUUGAGCCUUGAUGUGUAGGAUAGGUGGGAGGCCUUGAAGUGUGGACGCCAGUCUGCAUGGAGCCAACCUUGAAAUACCACCCUUUAAUGUUUGAUGUUCUAACUCGGCCCCAUGAUCUGGGGUGAGGACAGUGUCUGGUGGGUAGUUUGACUGGGGCGGUCUCCUCCCAAAGAGUAACGGAGGAGCACGAAGGUUAGCUAAUCACGGUCGGACAUCGUGAGGUUAGUGCAAAGGCAUAAGCUAGCUUGACUGCGAGAGUGACGGCUCGAGCAGGUACGAAAGUAGGUCUUAGUGAUCCGGUGGUUCUGAAUGGAAGGGCCAUCGCUCAACGGAUAAAAGGUACUCCGGGGAUAACAGGCUGAUACCGCCCAAGAGUUCAUAUCGACGGCGGUGUUUGGCACCUCGAUGUCGGCUCAUCACAUCCUGGGGCUGAAGUAGGUCCCAAGGGUAUGGCUGUUCGCCAUUUAAAGUGGUACGCGAGCUGGGUUUAGAACGUCGUGAGACAGUUCGGUCCCUAUCUGCCGUGGGCGUUGGAAGAUUGAGAGGGGCUGCUCCUAGUACGAGAGGACCGGAGUGGACGAAUCACUGGUGUUCGGGUUGUCAUGCCAAUGGCAUUGCCCGGUAGCUAAAUUCGGAAGAGAUAACCGCUGAAAGCAUCUAAGCGGGAAACUUGCCUCGAGAUGAGUCUUCCCUGGGGCUUAAAGCCCCCUGAAGGAACGUUAAAGACUAUGACGUUGAUAGGCUGGGUGUGUAAGUGCAGCGAUGUAUUGAGCUAACCAGUACUAAUGAUCCGUGAGGCUUAACCUU